GGCCAUAUAACAUUGAAACACUGGCUCCCAUCUGAUCACUGAAGUUAAGCAAUGUUGAAUGUGGUCAGUACCUAGAUGGGUAACUGCUUGGGAAUACCAGGUAAUG